AGUGAACGCUGGCGGCAGGCCUAAUACAUGCAAGUCGAACGGCAGCACAGCAGAGCUUGCUCUGUGGGUGGCGAGUGGCGGACGGGUGAGGAAUACAUGGGAAUCUGCCCAGUCGUGGGGGAUAACGUAUGGAAACGUACGCUAAUACCGCAUGCGCCCUACGGGGGAAAGUCGGGGACCGCAAGGCCUGACGCGAUUGGAUGAGCCCAUGUUCGAUUAGCUAGUUGGCGGGGUAAAGGCCCACCAAGGCGACGAUCGAUAGCUGGUCUGAGAGGAUGAUCAGCCACACUGGAACUGAGACACGGUCCAGACUCCUACGGGAGGCAGCAGUAGGGAAUAUUGGACAAUGGGGGCAACCCUGAUCCAGCCAUGCCGCGUGAGUGAAGAAGGCCCUCGGGUUGUAAAGCUCUUUUGUCCGGAAAGAAAAGCAUUCGGUUAAUACCCGGGUGUUCUGACGGUACCGGAAGAAUAAGCACCGGCUAACUUCGUGCCAGC
rnacentral:rRNA from 1 species